rfam:Catenaria anguillulae PL171 BCR44scaffold_302, whole genome shotgun sequence.
GACAGCGUGCCCGAGCGGUUAAGGGGAUUGACUCGAAAUCAAUUAGGCUGUGCCUGCACAGGUUCGAAUCCUGUCGCUGUCG